rnacentral:ncRNA from 1 species
GUCUUCGGGGCAGGGUGAAAAUCCCUACCGGCAGUACAGUCUGCGAAGCCUUCGGGCCCGAACCGGUGCAAUUCCGGUACCGACAGUAAAGUCUGGAUGGGAGAAGU